rnacentral:lncRNA from 10 species
CGGGUGGGUGGUUUUCAAAGGGAGUCGCCCCUGGUCCUUUUGCUACUUAGGUAUGGAAAGUUGGGGUUUUCCUUUCAAUUUGGUUCUAGGAAGUCAGCGUGAAUCAGCCUUAGGUUUCCUGCCUCCAGACCCUAGUCUCCUGCCUCAAAGUGGCCAGUCGGCUCUCGGGCCUUCCCAAGGCAGAAGGUGGAGCUGAAAAGCAGACUUCCCUGAAUGCUGAGGCUAAGUUGAAAAGUGGUGUAGGCUCUGUGCAGCCCACCUGAAGAACAGAGGAAGGGAGCACCAGAAAGCUGCUUGGGAGCUGGGUCUCAGGAUGCCGGGCAGAGGCGUUUGAGCUUUACCCCUUGGGUGGUAGAGCAUGGACCACUGCAGGCUCUCCAGCUGCAUGGUAUUCCGUUACGUGGCUGUCCCAUCGUUUUUUAACCAAUCUCUUAAUGAUGGACAAUUGAGUGGUUUCUGCUCUUUUUGUUAUCAACAAUGUUGCAGUAAAUAACUGUGGAUUUGUUAUUCCACACUAAAUCUUGUUGCUGCUCAGUCAUUGGGUCUGCACUGCCUUUAUGAGCUGUAACACUCACUGUGAGAGUCUGUAGUUUCACUCCCGAGGCCAGUGAGACCCUGAACCCACCAGAAGGAAGAAACUCCAAACACGUCCGAACAUCAGAAGGAAGGAACAAACUCCGGACAUGCCUCACUGCAAGGGUCACCGGCUUCAUUCUUGAAGUCAGUGAGACCAAGAACCCACCAAUUCUGGACACAAUAUAAUCCUCAUUCUUCCUCCUUGAAUAUGCAGUUUACUGUGGCACACACAUUCCCACUGCAAUGCUCUAUUCCUGAAUAAAUAUCUUUUUCUUUUAGAGAGCCUUUCUCUGUUAUUUAGGUUGACAGUUUUUAACUGUCUUUUAGUAUAUCUUUGAAAUUUUGGUUGAAAGCUGGACAUGAUGUAUAUGAUAGUAGGACCUGAAGUAAAUCGGCCUUAUUGUGUGAGGUUUUAUGUUAAUCUGACUAGUAGCUGGGCCGUGUUUAAUGUUUCCUAUAGCUGUAGGUGCCAGAAACUUUAGUUUCCUCUAGUUUCAGGUAUUUUUUUUUCUCUUCUGUUUUGACUUUCCCUGAGAACUCUUAUUAUUUUUUUUGAGAUGGAGUUUUGCUCUUGUUGCGCAGGCUGGAGGGCAGUGGCGCCAUCUUGGCUCACUGCAACUUCUGCCUCCCAGGGUCAAGCAGUUCUCCUGCUUUUCCUGAGUAGCUGGGAUUACAGGUCCC